GACAGAGGGUGCAAACGUUGUUCGGAAUUACUGGGCGUAAAGCGCGUGUAGGCGGCUUCGCAAGUCGGGUGUGAAAGCCCUGGGCUCAACCCAGGAAGUGCACUCGAUACUGCGGAGCUGGAGUCCCGGAGAGGAUAGCGGAAUUCUCGGUGUAGAGGUGAAAUUCGUAGAUAUCGAGAGGACACCGGUGGCGAAGGCGGCUAUCUCGGAGCGGUGACUGACGCGUGAGACGGCG
rnacentral:rRNA from 1 species